rnacentral:rRNA from 1 species
UACGUAGGUGGCGAGCGUUGUCCGGAAUUAUUGGGCGUAAAGGGAGCGCAGGCGGGAGAUCAAGUCUAUCUUAAAAGUGCGGGGCUCAACCUCGUGAGGGGAUGGAAACUGGUCUUCUUGAGUGCAGGAGAGGAAAGCGGAAUUCCUAGUGUAGCGGUGAAAUGCGUAGAUAUUAGGAGGAACACCAGUGGCGAAGGCGGCUUUCUGGACUGUAACUGACGCUGAGGCUCGAAAGCGUGGGGAGCGAACAGG